CAGUCGCCGCGGUAAUACCGAGGGUGCAAGCGUUAAUCGGAAUUACUGGGCGUAAAGCGCGCGUAGGUGGUUUGUUAAGUUGGAUGUGAAAGCCCCGGGCUCAACCUGGGAACUGCAUCCAAAACUGGCAAGCUAGAGUACGGUAGAGGGUGGUGGAAUUUCCUGUGUAGCGGUGAAAUGCGUAGAUAUAGGAAGGAACACCAGUGGCGAAGGCGACCACCUGGACUGAUACUGACACUGAGGUGCGAAAGCGUGGGGAGCAAACAGGAUUAGAUACCCGAGUAGUCCCUGUCUCUUAUAC
rnacentral:rRNA from 1 species